rnacentral:tRNA from 1 species
UGCGGGGUGGAGCAGUCUGGUAGCUCGUCGGGCUCAUAACCCGAAGGUCGCAGGUUCGAGUCCUGCCCCCGCUCCCA